UCCAAUUAUAAAAAAUCCAUUUUUAUUCAAUGGUCAAAACUUAAUUUAUUUGAACAUUGCUUAUGUAUUCAUCAAUGUAUAUUCAUCAAUAAAGAAAAAAAUUGUUAGGUGACUUAGACAAAAUAAUAGGUAAGACUAAAGAUGUUUACAGCAAGUUAGAUGAGUCCGGCCAAAUAACAGAGUUCUGAGCCACCACAACCAAUGGGACAAGUAAGAUUGAAUGUUCUCACAUUGAAUACACAGACAAUAAUGAGUAAAUGUACGGUCAAUGUUCAGAUGCCCAGGCACUCUCCAUUGUAGAUGUCCCAACACUUCACAUUAACAUGAUGGAUGAAGAACUCUAAAAUAAUUUAUUUAAGAGAAUGAUUACUCAUUACUGCAAGAGUUUAGCAAAGAACAUCUUUCCAUCACUCUGUAUCA